rnacentral:lncRNA from 1 species
UCCCUCCACCACAGAUGCCUGUGACUUCAGGCAUGAAGAUGGGUGGGCUAGUGCUUGCCCUCCUGGCACUCGGAGUAGCCCAUGACUCUAGAUGAACACUUGAAGGCAGACUGAAUGGAUGUUUAAAGUCGGUGACUGCGGAGCAAGUAUGAAGCAAGGCUGGACAUACCCAAAAUACAACCUAUUGUGGGGUAAAACGAUGUCUUUCUGUGGGGCACCAAACAGAAGCAGAUUGUCCCCAUGCUGUGUUCUGCCUGUUCUUCACCUGCCCCACUGGGAAGAACGCCGCAUUCAUAAAACUGUAGAUUCAAUACUAUCAUUUCCAUGGUGACAGAAGGCCACUUCACAGAGAAUUAUGAUUUCAUCAGGGCACCUGGAGGUGAAGAAAGUAGGCGGGGAACAAAUGGACUAUAAAGAGCGAACGAUAAAUCAUGUUUGUGUAAGGACAGGCCACGACCUCUCCGAUGGAGCCUACGCAGCCUUCCAAAUGAGCUCGCUCCCAUGCCCCAAGCUUCAAGAAUUACAUUCUGAUACUUUACUAUGGCUGGUAACAGAACAGACACUUGGCUUUAAAAGGUCCCAACCCUAGUGGUGUGACUCAGGCACUCUGGACACAUGUGCACACACAAGUCAGAGGAAGGUCUAAAGACAACAAGGAAAAGAAUGACAGCAUUGUGGCCCACUAGAGGUUGAAUGUCACCCGCAUCAAGGCUGAAUGUCAAGGCUGACUAUUCCAUAACACUACUCAUGGUCCCUGCCCGUUCCUUCUUCCCUUCUUUAUUCUGGUAGAUAGUUUUAGUGAUGUGAUCAUGAAAAUAUUGUUUGGUUGAACAUAUUUGCCUAUAAAAUAUAUGCAAAUAGCCUCACAAAGCUUGAAAAUCAGUAAGGGAAAACAAAUUUUUGUUUAAUGUUUCCUUGAAGUAAAAUGAG